rnacentral:rRNA from 1 species
AGCGGCGGAAGGGCGAGUAAUGGUACCGAACGUGCCCUGAGGUGGGGGAUAGCCGCGGGAAACUGCGGGUAAUACCCCAUGUGCUCUACGGAGGAAAGCUCAGGCGCCUUGGGAGCGGCGGUACUCCUAUCAGGUAGUUGGCGGGGUAAUGGCCCACCAAGCCGAAGACGGGUAGCGGGUGUGAGAGCACGGCCCGCCGCAUCGGGACUGAGACACUGCCCGGACUCCUACGGGAGGCUGCAGCAACGAAUCUUCCGCAAUGCACGAAAGUGUGACGGAGCAAUGCCGCGUGCGGGAUGAGGCGGCUUCGCCGUGUAAACCGCUGUCAGGACCCAGAAAGAGCUGAUCGGGUCCAGAGGAAGGGCCGGCUAAUCUCGUGCCAGCAGCCGCGGUAAUACGAGAGGUCCGAGCGUUAGACGGAAUCACUGGGCUUAAAGGGUGCGUAGGCGGAUAUGCAAGCGUGUUGUGAAAGCCCUCGGCUCAACCGAGGAAUCGCGGUGCGAACUGCAUAUCUUGAGGAAGGUAGGGGCCGGUGGAACGUUCGGUGGAGCGGUGAAAUGCGUAGAUAUCGAACGGAACGCCUAUGGUGAAGACAGCCGGCUGGGCCUUGCCUGACGCUGAGGCACGAAAGCGUGGGGAGCAAACAGGAUUAGAUACCCUGGUAGUCCACGCCGUAAACGAUGCGCACUGGAUCGG